GAUGAAGAAUGCAGCGAAAUGCGAUAAGUAAUGUGAAUUGCAGAAUUCAGUGAAUCAUCGAAUCUUUGAACGCACAUUGCGCCCGUCAGUAUUCUGGCGGGCAUGCCUGUUCGAGCGUCAUUACGCCCCUCAAGUCCCCUGUGGACUUGGUGUUGGGGAUCGGCGAGGCUGGUUUUCCAGCACAGCCGUCCCUUAAAUUAAUUGGCGGUCUCGCCGUGGCCCUCCUCUGCGCAGUAGUAAAACACUCGCAACAGGAGCCCGGCGCGGUCCACUGCCGUAAAACCCCCCAACUUUUUAUAGUUGACCUCGAAUCAGGUAGGACUACCCGCUGAACUUAAGCAUAUCAAUAAGCGGAGGA
rnacentral:misc_RNA from 1 species